GCAUAUCAAUAAGCGGAGGAAAAGAAACCAACAGGGAUUGCCCCAGUAACGGCGAGUGAAGCGGCAACAGCUCAAAUUUGAAAUCUGGCCCUUGUGGUCCGAGUUGUAAUUUGUAGAGGAUGCUUUUGGUGCGGUGCCUUCCGAGUUCCCUGGAACGGGACGCCAUAGAGGGUGAGAGCCCCGUCUGGUUGGACACCAAGCCUCUGUAAAGCUCCUUCGACGAGUCGAGUAGUUUGGGAAUGCUGCUCUAAAUGGGAGGUAUAUGUCUUCUAAAGCUAAAUAUUGGCCAGAGACCGAUAGCGCACAAGUAGAGUGAUCGAAAGAUGAAAAGCACUUUGAAAAGAGGGUUAAAUAGUACGUGAAAUUGUUGAAAGGGAAGCGUUUGUGACCAGACUUGGGCUUGGUUAAUCAUCCGGCGUUCUCGCCGGUGCACUUUGCCAGCCCAGGCCAGCAUCAGUUCGUCGCGGGGGAUAAAGGUAGCGGGAAUGUGGCUCCUCGGAGUGUUAUAGCCCGUUGCGUAAUACCCUGUGGUGGACUGAGGUUCGCGCAUCUGCAAGGAUGCUGGCGUAAUGGUCAUCAACGACCCGUCUUGAAACACGGACCAAGGAGUCGUCUUCGUAUGCGAGUGUUCGGGUGUCAAACCCCUACGCGUAAUGAAAGUGAACGCAGGUGAGAGCUUCGGCGCAUCAUCGACCGAUCCUGAUGUUCUCGGAUGGAUUUGAGUAAGAGCAUACGGGGCCGGACCCGAAAGAAGGUGAACUAUGCCUGUAUAGGGUGAAGCCAGAGGAAACUCUGGUGGAGGCUCGCAGCGGUUCUGACGUGCAAAUCGAUCGUCAAAUAUGGGCAUGGGGGCGAAAGACUAAUCGAACCUUCUAGUAGCUGGUUUCCGCCGA
rnacentral:rRNA from 1 species